GACGGAGGGUGCAAGCGUUGCUCGGAAUCACUGGGCGUAAAGGGUGCGUAGGCGGUCUCGCAAGUCUGGCGUGAAAGCCCAAGGCUCAGCCUUGGAAGUGCGCUCGAAACGGCGAGGCUGGAGUGCCGGAGGGGAGAGUGGAAUUCCCGGUGUAGCGGUGAAAUGCGUAGAGAUCGGGAGGAAUACCGGUGGCGAAGGCGGCCUACCUGGACGAACACUGACGCUGAGACUCGAAAGCCAGGGGAGCGAACGGG
rnacentral:rRNA from 1 species